CAAUAACCUUAGGAAACGGAA
rnacentral:siRNA from 1 species